CCUACGGGGGGCUGCAGUGAGGAAUAUUGGUCAAUGGACGCAAGUCUGAACCAGCCAUCCCGCGUGCAGGAAGAAGGCGCUAUGCGUUGUAAACUGCUUUUCCAGGGGAAGAAAACCUGCUACGUGUAGUGGCUUGCCGGUACCCUGGGAAUAAGCAUCGGCUAACUCCGUGCCAGCAGCCGCGGUAAUACGGAGGAUGCGAGCGUUAUCCGGAUUUAUGGGGUCUAAAGGGUGCGGAUAAGUAAGUGGUGAAAACCUGCAGCUUAACUGUAGAACUGCCAUUGAUACUGUCGGACUUGAGUGUGGUCAAGGUAGGCGGAAUGUGUAAUGUAGCGGUGAAAUGCUUAGAUAUUACACAGAACACCGAUUGCGAAGGCAGCUUGCUGGACCAUUACUGACGCUGAUGCACGAAAGCGUGGGGAGCAAACAGGAUUAGAUACCCCUGUAGUC
rnacentral:rRNA from 1 species